rnacentral:lncRNA from 1 species
CGGGAGAUGAAACAUGGUUGUACAACACUCUCUUUCAAAUCCGGUGGAUGAUCAAUGAAGUGAAGUGGUUUGAUGAAACCAAGCCAACUGGUUGUUCAACACUCUCUGGACUUGAUCAGCGGGUGGAAUGGAUUAGAUGGUGGACUGAGGACGCCACAAAAUCUACGGAAAAGAGCUUUGAUAAGUCAAGAAAAUCUGAACACAAUGAAUCACACACAAGUGUUGAGAGAAU